rnacentral:rRNA from 1 species
UACGUAGGGUGCGAGCGUUAAUCGGAAUUACUGGGCGUAAAGCGUGCGCAGGCGGUUUUGUAAGCCAGAUGUGAAAUCCCCGGGCUCAACCUGGGAAUGGCAUUUGGGACUGCAAGGCUUGAGUGCGGCAGAGGAGACUGGAAUUCCUGGUGUAGCAGUGAAAUGCGUAGAUACCAGGAGGAAUACCGAUGGCGAAGGCAGGUCUCUGGGCUGACACUGACGCUCAUGCACGAAAGCGUGGGGAGCAAACAGG